rnacentral:rRNA from 1 species
CGGGAUUACAUACCCCGGUAGUCCUAGCUGUAAAGGAUGCGGGCCAGGUGUCUGGUGUUCCUCGAUGAGCACCAGGUGCCGGAGAGAAGUCGUUAAGCCCGCCGCCUGGGAAGUACGGUCGCAAGGCUGAAACUUAAAGAAAUUGGCGGGGGAGCACCACAAGGGGUGGGACCUGCGGUUCAAUCGGGUUCAACGCCGAAAAACUCACCAGGGGCGACAGCUGGAUGAAGGCCAGGCUGACAACCUUGCCGGACUAGCUGAGAGGUGGUGCAUGGCCAUCGUCAGCUCGUACCGUGAGGCGUCCUGUCAAGUCAGGCAACGAGCGAGAUCCUCGCCCUUAGUUGCCACAGUGGAAAGCUGGGCACUAUAAGGGGACCGCUGGCGCUAAGCCAGAGGAAGGAGAGGGCGACGGUAGGUCCGUAUGCCCCGAAUCCCCUGGGCCACACGCGGGUCACAAUGCGUAGGACAAUGGGUUGCGACCUCGUAAGAGGAAGCUAAUCCCCUAAACCUACGCUCGGUUCGGAUCGAGGGCUGCAACUCGCCCUCGUGAAGCUGGAAUCCCUAGUAAUCGCGCGCCAACACCGCGCGGUGAAUACGUCCCUGCUCCUUGUACACAC